rnacentral:rRNA from 1 species
CCUACGGGCGGCAGCAGUGAGGAAUAUUGGUCAAUGGACGCAAGUCUGAACCAGCCAUGCCGCGUGCAGGAAGACGGCUCUAUGAGUUGUAAACUGCUUUUGUACGAGGGUAAACGCAGAUACGCGUAUCUGUCUGAAAGUAACGUACGAAUAAGGAUCGGCUAACUCCGUGCCAGCAGCCGCGGUAAUACGGAGGAGUCAAGCGUUAUCCGGAUUUAUUGGGUGUACAGGGUGCGUAGGCGGUCGGUUCAGUUAGAGGGGACAUCCCGCGGCUCAACUUCGGAAUUGCCUCUGAUACUGUUCGGCUAGAGCGUAGUUGCGGUAGGCGGAAUGUCUGGUGUAGCGG